CAGAGGGUGCGAGCGUUGUCCGGAAUCACUGGGCGUAAAGGGCGCGUAGGUGGCGACCCAAGUCAAUGGUGAAAGCUCGAUGCUCAACAUCGAGUCGGCCACUGAUACUGGGUUGCUCGAGCACUGUAGAGGCAGAUGGAAUUCCGGGUGUAGCGGUGGAAUGCGUAGAGAUCCGGAAGAACACCGGUGGCGAAGGCGGUCUGCUGGGCAGUAGCUGACACUGAGGCGCGACAGCGUGGGGAGCAAACAGGAUUAGAUACCCUGGUAGUCCACGCCGUAAACGAUGGGCACUAGAUGCUUGGGGGAGCGACCCCCUGAGUGUCGUCGCUAACGCAGUAAGUGCCCCGCCUGGGGAGUACGGCCGCAAGGCUG
rnacentral:rRNA from 1 species